CCUACGGGAGGCAGCAGUGGGGAAUAUUGGACAAUGGGGGGAACCCUGAUCCAGCGACGCCGCGUGAGUGAAGAAGUAUUUCGGUAUGUAAAGCUCUAUCAGCAGGGAAGAAAGAAAUGACGGUACCUGACUAAGAAGCCCCGGCUAACUACGUGCCAGCAGCCGCGGUAAUACGUAGGGGGCAAGCGUUAUCCGGAUUUACUGGGUGUAAAGGGAGCGUAGACGGCGAUGCAAGUCUGAAGUGAAAGGCGGGGGCCCAACCCCCGGACUGCUUUGGAAACUGUAUGGCUGGAGUGCCGGGGAGGUAAGUGGAAUUCCGAGUGUAGCGGUGAAAUGCGUAGAUAUUAGGAGGAACACCAGUGGCGAAGGCGGCUUACUGGACUGUAACUGACGUUGAGGCUCGAAAGCGUGGGGAGCAAACAGGAUUAGAUACCCUAGUAGUC
rnacentral:rRNA from 1 species